GAUGAACGCUAGCGGCAGGCCUAACACAUGCAAGUCGAGGGGCAGCGGGGAUAAGCUUGCUUAUCCGCCGGCGACCGGCGCACGGGUGCGCAACGCGUAUAGAAUCUACCUUGUACUGGGGAAUAGCCCAGAGAAAUUUGGAUUAAUGCCCCAUGGUAUGUGGGAGCGGCAUCGCUCCCACAUUAAAGGCCACGGUACAAGAUGACUAUGCGUCCCAUUAGUUAGUUGGUAGGGUAACGGCCUACCAAGGCAGCGAUGGGUAGGGGCCCUGAGAGGGGGAUCCCCCACACUGGUACUGAGACACGGACCAGACUCCUACGGGAGGCAGCAGUGAGGAAUAUUGGACAAUGGAGGAGACUCUGAUCCAGCCAUGCCGCGUGCAGGAAGACGGUCCUAUGGAUUGUAAACUGCUUUUGUACGGGAAGAACAAGGGGCACGUGUG
rnacentral:rRNA from 1 species